GAGUUUGAUCAUGGCUCAGGAUGGACGCUGGCGGCAGGCUUAACACAUGCAAGUCGAGGGGUAUUCUAGCAAUAGGAGAGACCGGCGCACGGGUGCGUAGCGCGUAUGCAAUCUACCUUUCACAGAGGGAUAGCCCAGAGAAAUUUGGAUUAAUACCUCAUAGUAUAAUGACUCGGCAUCGAGAUAUUAUUAAAGUCACAACGGUGAAAGAUGAGCAUGCGUCCCAUUAGCUAGUUGGUAAGGUAACGGCUUACCAAGGCGACGAUGGGUAGGGGUCCUGAGAGGGAGAUCCCCCACACUGGUACUGAGACACGGACCAGACUCCUACGGGAGGCAGCAGUGAGGAAUAUUGGACAAUGGGCGCAAGCCUGAUCCAGCCAUGCCGCGUGCAGGAUGACGGUCCUAUGGAUUGUAAACUGCUUUUGCACAGGAAGAAACACCCCCUCGUGAGGGGGCUUGACGGUACUGUGAGAAUAAGGAUCGGCUAACUCCGUGCCAGCAGCCGCGGUAAUACGGAGGAUCCAAGCGUUAUCCGGAAUCAUUGGGUUUAAAGGGUCCGUAGGCGGUUUAGUAAGUCAGUGGUGAAAGCCCAUCGCUCAACGGUGGAACGGCCAUUGAUACUGCUAG
rnacentral:rRNA from 1 species